rnacentral:rRNA from 1 species
UACCAGCACCCCGAGUGGUCGGGACGAUUAUUGGGCCUAAAGCAUCCGUAGCCGGUUUUACAAGUCCUCCGUUAAAUCCAGCUGCUUAACAGAUGGGCUGCGGAGGAUACUAUAAGACUAGGAGGCAGGAAAGGCAAGCGGUACUCAGUGGGUAGGGGUAAAAUCCGUUGAUCCAUUGAAGACCACCAGUGGCGAAGGCGGCUUGCCAGAAUGCGCUCGACGGUGAGGGAUGAAAGCUGGGGGAGCAA